GAUGAACGCUAGCGGCAGGCCUAAUACAUGCAAGUCGAACGGAGUGGAGCAGCAAUGCUUCACUUAGUGGCGCACGGGUGCGUAACGCGUAUGCAACCUACCUUUUAUUGGGGGAUAGCCCGAAGAAAUUCGGAUUAAUACCGCAUAAUAUCAUUUGAGGGCAUCCGAGGAUGAUGAAAGCUUUGGCGGUAAAAGAUGGGCAUGCGUGUCAUUAGCUAGUUGGUCGAGGUAACGGCUCACCAAGGCGACGAUGACUAGGGGUUCUGGGAGGAUGAUCCCCCACACUGGUACUGAGAUACGGACCAGACUCCUACGGGAGGCAGCAGUAGGGAAUAUUGGGCAAUGGCGGAAACGCUGACCCAGCCAUGCCGCGUGCCGGAUGAAGGCCUUCUGGGUUGUAAACGGCUUUUACCAGGGAAGAACCUACCUUUGCGAAGGGAACUGACGGUACCUGGUGAAUAAGCACCGGCUAACUCCGUGCCAGCCGCCGCGGUAACAC
rnacentral:rRNA from 1 species